AAAAAUAAAACAAAAUAAAAAAAACAAAAUGAAAUAACUAAACUAAAUAAAAUAACAUAGAAAUAAAAAAAAAUGGCCAAGGUGCACUCCACAGGUUUGAACCUCUAACCUUGGGGUCAUGGGGGAUACUUUCCCCUCACCCACUGGGUCAAGGGCCUGGUUGUGAUUACAAAGCGCACUUGCAUGAAUCUAUUACUAUCUAUAAAGGGGAUAGGGGAUUUUGGAGUGGCUUAUUUUUCUUCCAAAUUUGCCCUUUAAAUAAUUUAUAUUUACUAAAAAACCACAACAAUAACUACCCACAACAAUAACUACCCACACUAA
rnacentral:lncRNA from 1 species